GGGGAUGUAGCUCAUCUGGUAGAGCGCUUCCAUGGCAUGGAAGAGGUAAGGGGUUCGAGUCCCCUCAUCUCCACCA
rnacentral:tRNA from 1 species